UACAGAGGUCUCAAGCGUUGUUCGGAUUCAUUGGCGUAAAGGGUGUGUAGGUGGCGCCGUAAGUCGGGUGUGAAAUUUCGGAGCUUAACUCCGAAACUGCAUUCGAUACUGCGGUGCUUGAGGACUGGAGAGGAGACUGGAAUUCAUGGUGUAGCAGUGAAAUGCGUAGAGAUCAUGAGGAAGACCAGUGGCGAAGGCGGGUCUCUGGACAAGUUCCUGACACUGAGACACGAAGGCCAGGGGAGGCAAAACGGG
rnacentral:rRNA from 1 species